GCAUGCUGGGAAUCUCUCUUGAGUGGUCUCAGCUCCUAGAAGGGUCUCUGCUGCUCUUCUUGGACCUUGGGUGGCUGAGAGGGAAGGUGGUAGGAGUUGGUGUCCGGGGUCAGGCUGGGGCUCCUUACUCUGGGAGCUGAGACUGCUCCCGAAGUGCUGGGGCUGGGAAGGACCCUGGGAGUGUGGGCGAGAGCCUGUGCGCAUGUGUAGCAGCAUCUGGCCGGCUGGGGCGGUGUGCUGGACUGUAAAGGGCAGGGUCUGGAAGCGUGUGUUCCCUAAGCGGGGAUCCCAGCCCCACCUCCCCAGGCCGUGGGGAGCACAGAUCCAUCGAUCCAUCAGUCAAUGAACCAAUCAGUAGACGCUUGUUCCGCGCGUGCCGUGUGCCAGGCUCUCACCUGAGGCAGCUACCAGGUUAUAGCAGAAUCAGGGCAGGGGUGGGGGAGGAGAAGGCGGCAACACAACCCCCUCCCCCCACCAGCGCUCUAAGCCCAGCAGCCCAGACCGGCCUCCAUUUCCCAGAAUGCCGGGGUUCUGACGUGCCACAAAGAAUGGUAUCUCAACGCUUUCUGGCAAUCUCACGUUGGCAGUCUCGGCUCCUGGAAGGCUCACAGCUGUGACUUUUGAACCUUUUUGGAGUAUUAGGGGGAAGGCGAGGUGACGACAUCAGUGCGCAGGUGCGUCCUCCCCGCCUGGGCAGCGGAGAGUGUACCAAGCUCCUAGGAAGACGCGGGUGGGCCAAUUCCGGGUUUCUGAGCUUGUGCGCAUGUGCAACAGGAGAGGCGGGCCCAGAGACCGGGGUCCCUUUAAAAAUGGUGGGGGAGGGGCUUUUCAGUAUGUGUCUCCCAGUCUGUCCCUCACUCUAAAGCACCCCAGAAAGGGCUCAAACACGGAACCCGGAGCCAUGGAUGGGCUUUGCCUUCCCCUAUGGGACAGAAGGGCACGGAGCUAGGAGGCAGCUGGGGGGAGGAGCUAGUCGGGGCCUUUCCCCCAGCGGGCCAUACAGGUCACAACAGGCCAAGGGGAGAAGCCGCCAGAGUGAGCCUGGUCAAGGGGCAGCAGGGUAGGGGUUGCCCGGGCCCACAUACCCCAGGAGGAGCCCAGAUCUCGGGCACUGAAGAAAUGCCAGCAGGCUCUUCCGUACCCCCGCCUGGUGCCGGAUCCCUCUCCACCCCUCCCAUUCAAUCCACCGGGUGCAGCUUCUGAAUGGCGGCAGACGGGGCGGGGCUUCCUCGUGGCCAGCCCCAAGCCCUCUCCUGCCUAAGGCUCCAUGUGCCCCCCUGAGGCCAGGGAAGAGCCUGGGAGCCCUCGGGAGCCCGCGCCUCUCCCUGUCCCCCAGGUGCACCCAGAGGAAGUCUCUCCGCCUCGGGCUGCCACCCCCUGAAGGACCCCAGGGUGGCCCCGCAGAGAGCCCGCAGCCAGAGGAAUGGCCCCGGGACCCCGAGGCCCCCCUCCCAGGCAAAUGAUUUCCAGCUCAUGAAAACAAACACUUGACACACUUGGAGAAGGUCCUGCAGAAGUUUUCUCCUCUGAGAAGGAAUAGAAAGAACCCGGGUAUAGCCAGAGACCAGCCAACUCUGGUGGGGGCACAAGACCAGCCCUGUGGGCCUCUCUCUGUGACUGUGCUCUUGGCUCACUAGAAAUUGUAAAGAAAAGGACAGGAACCACACUACACCCUGACAAGACCAGACCACACAAAAUAGCUCACGAGAAACAUCACCCUCCUGAGAUGGGGCACAGCUCAGCUCAACGUGGGUCUUUAAUGGGGAGUCAGAAAACAAAGAGCCCUAAAAGAAAAGCUGCUGAGCAUCUCCAGAACUUCCUGAGGGAUCUCAGAAUCCUGAAUCCUUCCCUUAAUCUCCUCACAUUGACAAACUAUAAAGAAAUGUCCCGGCCAUAAAUCCGAGCUGAAGAUCCAAACCUAAUUGUGGUCAGUGACAGCUGGAGACGUCACCCCACCCAGCAAAGGUCCCAUAGAGGCGUCCAGCACUGUGUUCUGUGGGUUUCUGACAGAUAAGCAGCAGAAGGUACGGAGGAUGUUAAGGAACACGCAGUGUGUUUGGUAACAAAGGUUUGGAGCCUUUGACUCAAAGUCCCAACUUCAGAGGAGAGAAUUUCCCGAAUCCUCCAGAACUUUCCUACCACUUGGGUCACAGGAACCUUUCUGGGCCACAAUGGUUUGGGCAGCUUCUAGUUGGCCUCGGUCUUCAAAGGAUCCAACAGGACCUGAACAUGCCCAGUUUGCUUUCCUGGGAUCUCCUCAGGGCAGCUGUAGACUCCCCAGUCCCAGUGAGCCCAGCUGCUCUGCUUGGCUCUCAGCUUCCCUAGAUAACUGCCCAGACCUAAAGCUUUUAUUCUUCCCACAGAAAGUCUUCAGUAUCAUUCAUUGCUGUAAUACGCUGAUAAACCAUGUAGCAUGCCAAGCAUAUUCACAUCAAUGAAUCAUAAAUGACUGUAUUAUUACUGUGUCUCCAAGCAUAAGGUUUUACUGAUAAGGUUUGUGAAGGUAACCUUGACCUGACCACGCGGCCUGUUGUCUAAGACAAACUCAGUAACAUGUUCAGAGCACUUGCUGGGAAUUUAUAAUCUACACACCCAAAAAGGUGUUACUCUCACCCCACUAUCCAAUCCUUAUUGUCCAUGCUUUGUAACGUGGUUACUACGUGCUUGAGAAUACUUCCCUAAUCAGAGGAAGGCAAUAAAUACAGAGGCAGAGACCUUGAAUCUCUCUCUCUCUCUUGGAUCUUCAAUCUCCUCUAGCAAUGACUGUCUCUCUCCCUCUCUAGACCUUCUCCUUCCCUGAGGCUGUAACCCAUCUUGGCCUGCAUUCCCUACCUUAAUCUCCUCCUCCACCUUGUGUUCACUGACUUGUCCCUGUCUCUCAUUCUCCACCCUGGUUCUUGGUUCCUACCUCUCCUCGGGUCCCAUCACAAAGGUGAGCCCCUUCCCUUUGUGAAUUUUAAAAGUCUCCAUCUUGGUCUAGCACCCAGGCCUCGGAGGGCCCCCCAGAGGGUGCUGGACCCCCCCUGCUGCCUCCCCCGAUGGGCCUCCCUUUCAGGCUCCCUCUCAGCUCAGCCUGGACAGGCCCAAAGCCUGGAAGAAGAGGCUGGAGUCCAGGGAAGGCCUGGGGACCCCCCCAACGCCCCCAUCCCAGGGGAGGGCAGGCCAUGCCCACUGCAGGCCUGUAUGUUCUCCCCUCCUGAGCCCCAGAGACAGCAGAGAGGAAUUCAGAGCAGCAGCCCGGGCCUGAGGCCAGCAAGGGAAGAAUCAUCCAUGGAGAGAAGCCCUUCCAGGGCCUUUAGUGCUGGGAGCCAUCAGACCAGGAUGCCUUGACAGAGUCUCAUCUUUAAUUGAAUUUUCUACUUAAGAAAGGCGAAUCCUUUGGAAUAGCUAGUUAAGAAUAACAUGAAAUUUACAGACUUCUUUUGAGGCAACUUUAUCAAAUGAACAACUUUAAUCUUCCCUCGAAGGCAAUUGAUUUCCAGCUCAUGAAAACAAACACUUGACACACUUGGAGAAGGUCCUGCAGAAAUUUUCUCCUCUGAGAAGGAAUAGAAAGCACCAGGGUACAGCCAGAGACCAGCCAACUCUGGUGGGGGCACAAGACCAGCCCUGUGGGCCUCCCUCUGUGACUGUCAUCCAUUGUCUACAGAAACCCGUUGUCCCAAGUAUGGCUCUUACCUGGCUUUUGGCUCUUGGGGCACUAAGUUUUUGGAAGUCUGCUCUAAGUUUUGGGGAAAUACUCUUAGAACCUCUAGAUAGAAUGAAUCGUAGGUCUUCAACUCUUGGUAGACACCAUUGCAGCUUGGUUUCGGAGACCUCAAGUCCUCGCUUAUACAAUUCACAGAAAAGACAUUUGCUCUCUCUAAGACAAAUUCUUUAAUUUGGAGAAGCUAAAAGAAUGUCAACUAUGAAAUGUACUAAUUCACAGUCUUUAAAACAGAUACUUUCUAGAUCAUUAUUUAGGAUUUGCCAAAAGAGAAAUGGACUUUCCCAGUGCCUGUGGGGCAAACGGCUCCAACAAAAACUUCUUCCCUGUCAGGGAAAGCAAAAAUCUUUUGGGAGUCCUUAUGUAUGAGGAUAAAAAGGAAAACAGAACAUAAGUCUACCACCGUAAAAUAGCGUGCAUGACUGGGUAUGGAGGAGAUCAUUGUAGCUGGGGAUCGUACUAUUGGGUGAGAUUUUAUAACAUAAUCAUUUAGAGCCCUUAAACCUUGGACAAAUCUGUGACAUGGUUUUCCACUUCAUCGACUUUUGGUUUUUUAAUUGGUAGCAUAGAGGUAUUAAAUUCUGAAAUACAUGGGACUAUAAUGCAUUGCUCUAACAAUGAUUAUAUAAUUGGUCUUAUGCCCUCUACUGCUUCUUAACUUAGAGAGUAUUGGGGAAUAUAAGGUAGAGGACGCCCUUUAGUCUUUACUUUAACUGGUGUUGCUAAUUUAAGAAAGCCUACAUCUGUAGAAGAUGACGUUCAUAACCCAUUUGGAAUAGAGUCUGGAAUUGGAUAAAUUGUACACGUUUCUCCUUCUCCCUCAACUACGUCUAAGAAUAAGAGUGGAAAACUUUUCAGGAAUUCCUCAAAAAGUUGUAAAGAAAUGUCCCUCUAUUGUAAAUAAAAUACCAUAAAUUCCAUUUACUUUAGUAAUUCAUUUUGGGAUUUAGAAAUUAAAUCCCUGGCGACCACCAAAUUAAAAUAUUCAGUACAAAAUAAGAUUUAACACAAGGAUUAUUCACCGGGAGCAGGUGGGAUUUAUAUACCAGGAAUGCAAAGAUGGUUUAAUAUUAGGAAAACCAUCCACAUAAUUGACAACAUCAAUAACCAAACCAACAGAAAUCAUAUGAUUAUCUCAAUAGAUGCAGAAAAAGUCUUUGAAAAAUUAACACUCAUCCCUAUCGAAAAACACUAAAAAGCAUAGGAAUAAAAGGGCCUUUCCUCAAAAUAAGUAGUACUUAUUUAAAAACAUCAGCAAGUAUCAUCUGCAAUGGGGAUAAGUUAGAAGCCUUCCCAAUAAGGUCAGGAGUGAAUCAAGGAGGCCCAUUAUCAUCACUAUUAUUUAAUAUUAUACUAGAAUGCUAGUGGUAGCAAUUAGAGAAGAAAAACAAAUUGAAGGAAUUAAAGUAGGCAACUAAACUAUCUCUCUUUACAGAAGAUAUACUUAGAGAAUCCUAGAGAAUCAACUGAAAUCUAGUGGAAAUAAUAACUUUUACAAAGUUUCAGUAUACAGAAUAAACUCACACAAAUCAUCAAUAUUUCUAUAUAUUUCAAAAAAACUCAGCAGCAAGAGUUAGAAAGAGAAACUCCAUUUAAAAUCACUCUAGAUCAUAUAAAAUAUUGAGAAUGUAUCUGACAAGACAAACAGGAAUUAUAUUAAAAUAAUUCCAAAACAUUUUUCACCCAUAUAAAACUAGAUCUAAAAAUUGGAAAAAGUAAUUGCUCACAAGUAGGAGGAGCUACUAUAAUAAAGAUGACAAAACUACUGUAUGAUUUAAAUUAAUGUCCAAUACUUCAAAUAUUGUUUUUAUAAAGUUUAUUAUCUGAUAAAACAGAACCAUGUGAUUAAGUUUUUCUCCCUGAUUAAAAAUCCCUGUUCCACCAAAGCUAGGACAGUGUGGUAGAAAGAAAUGUUAAAAUGAAUGAAAAAGACUGGAUUUGGAAGAGCUAUCUCAGGAAAAGGUGAGAUGGAACUCUGCUGCCACUGGGGGAUGGGAAUGGAACAUUCUAGCUAAGUUGAAGAAGGAGCAGUUGGGAAACUGCUGAGUUCUCUUCUUGGCUUGAAGAGGGAAGGAAAAAAAUCCUUACUGAACAGACAAACAAUAUCCACUAAAUCCUUUGCUGAGCAAUAGAAGAUUCAGGCCAUUCAUCUGUUAUAUUAGUGGGAUAGAGACUUUUUCACUUAGGGGAAGGAAAAGAGCCUAUCCUACAGAAGAUUCAAACCAUAUCUUAGAGACAAGAAGUACCAAGAUCUUGAGCCCACAAAGACAUUAAGCCAGUGUGCUUCAAACCCUCCUGAAAGCAGCUAUAGGAGGGAAAUAGUCAGGAACUUCCUGUUUCCUCUAUCCUUGUUUAUAUCCUAACUCAUUAUCCAAUAAAUAGUUAUUUUUGCUUUACUGAAGACUCAAUCAUCUUAAAUGUACUAGAAGGAGAAUUACAAAAUGCAUCAAUCAAAGAAGAAAGAGACUGAAGGGGAUUUCCUCUUACCCUUCCUUUCUAGUUAGAUCUCACUCCAUUGUCAAGACAUUGUCAUUGUCUUCCUCCAUUGCCUGGAGGAAGGGAAAAUUGGUGUUAUCUUUUAUCUCUUCCCACUCUCUCAAGUAUCUUUGGUUCCUUCUUGAUUCCCCCACUAGUACAAUAGGAAGGAAAGAGAGUCUGAGAGGCAGAACUACACCCAAUUUAUAUCCUGUCUACCUCAGCAUGUAAUGACAAGAAGUGAGUAGGGCACUGGGAAUCAUAGUUUUUAGAGUAACAGAUUCUAAUUACACACUACCAAAAUUAAUUCAUGUAUUCAGUGCCAUACCUAUGAAACCACCAAAAAACUGUUUUAUAGAACUAGAAAAAAUAAUAUCAAGGAUCAUCCAGAAGAAUAAAAGAUCAAUACUAAGAAAAAAA